UUGGACUCCUGGGGCCUGUCAAUCACCUUGUGGUUCAGCCCGCCCACUGCUUCCGGAAAGAUCAGUGAACUGGAACAAUCCUCCCAGUUCUUCCACCCACAUCCGUGUUACAGGAAGGACCAAACUUUGAACCCAGCUAGACUUUUGUAGGAAAGCGGCUAAUGUGUUCCAGGAAGCUGUGUUAAGGGAACACAUGAAGCAAACGGCAGCUUGUGAGCUCACAGUCCUCUGCACAAAACCCUUCCCUGAGACUAUGAGCUCCAUAAAGUGGAGAUCCAGGUCUGGCCUGUUGAUCCCUGAUCCUUUAAUGCCUGGCAUGAGGCCCUGUCUAGCAGGAAGGCAGAUUUUUCACCUGAAAUCACUGACCAGGUGACCACAUCAGCUAAGCUCAACCCUGCAGUCAUCCCAUCCCAGGUGCCAGAGAGUGAGUGAAGAAGCCUCCAGAAGAUUCCUGCCAUGCUCUGUCUGAAUUUCUUACCUAUGAAUUUAUGAGUGUAAAAAAUAAAUUGACAAA